rnacentral:rRNA from 1 species
UACGGGGGGGGCAAGCGUUGUUCGGAAUUACUGGGCGUAAAGGGCUCGUAGGUGGCCAACUAAGUCAGACGUGAAAUCCCCGGGCUCAACCUGGGAACUGCAUUUGUGACUGCAUCGCUGGAGUACGGCAGAGGGGGAUGGAAUUCCGCGUGUAGCAGUGAAAUGCGUAGAUAUGCGGAGGAACACCGAUGGCGAAGGCAAUCCCCUGGACCUGUACUGACGCUCAUGCACGAAAGCGUGGGGAGCAAACAGG